UUACAAGAUUGUUCUGAAAAUACCGUAACUUCUGUGAUAUAUUUCCAGAGCAUGAAAAAUUAUCACACAAAGUAGGGUAAGGCGACAGUGCAUCCUUCUCUUGGUGACUGGGACAUCCAUUUCUCCAUAGCGUCAGACUAAUAGAUGUAUUUCCGUGGGUAAAAGGAAAAUGGGCUUCUCGCUCCGAGUCUUAUUUGAAUUUUCAUUUCAUUUGAUUAAGCUACACAGACACAAUGAUGUCCUGUGUUCUUCACUCCAUAACCCUGCAAAGC
rnacentral:lncRNA from 1 species